rnacentral:ncRNA from 1 species
CAUCCGAAAAGGCACACUCGUCGCAAGACGGGGUCGCAAAGCUACGGGUCCGGUUGAAAGAGACCGGAUUGCCAAG